UGAAGCUGGAUUCGCUAGUAAUCGCGCAUCAGCCAUGGCGCGGUGAAUACGUUCCCGGGCCUUGUACACACCGCCCGUCAAGCCAUGGGAGCCGGGGGGUGCUUGAAGUGCGUCGCCGCGAGGCGCGCCCUAGAGCAAAAACCGGUGACUGGGGCUAAGUCGUAACAAGGUACC
rnacentral:rRNA from 1 species